rnacentral:rRNA from 1 species
GGCGGUCAGGAAANUCUGGAGUAAAAGGCUAUGGCUCAACCAUAGUGUGCUNUGGAAACUGUCUGACUUGAGUNCAGAAGGGGAGAGUGGAAUUCCAUGUGUAGCGGUGAAAUGCGUAGAUAUAUGGAGGAACACCAGUGGCGAAAGCGGCUNUCUGGUCUGUCACUGACGCUGAGGCUCGAAAGCGUGGGUAGCGAACAGGAUUAGAUACCCUGGUAGUCCNCGCCGUAAACGAUGAGUGCUAGGUGUUAGNCCCUUUCCGGGGCUUAGUGCCGGAGCUAACGCAAUAAGCACUCCGCCUGGGGAGUACGACCGCAAGGUUGAAACUCAAAGGAAUUGACGGGGGCCCGCACAAGCGGUGGAGCAUGUGGUNUAAUUNGAAGCAACGCGAAGAACCUUACCAGGUCNNGNCAUCCCGAUGCUAUUCUUAGAGAUAGGAAGUUANUUCGGUACAUCGGAGACAGGUGGUGCAUGGUUGUCGUCAGCUCGUGUCGUGAGAUGUUGGGUUAAGUCCCGCAACGAGCGCAACCCUUAUUGUUAGUUGCCAUCAUUAAGUUGGGCACUCUAGCGAGACUGCCGGUAAUAAACCGGAGGAAGGUGGGGAUGACGUCAAAUCAUCAUGCCCCUUAUGACCUGGGCUACACACGUGCUACAAUGGUCGGUACAACGAGUUGCGAGCCGGUGACGGCAAGCUAAUCUCUGAAUGCCGAUCUCAGUUCGGAUUGGAGGCUGCAACUCGCCUCCAUGAAGUCGGAAUCGCUAGUAAUCGCGGAUCAGCACGCCGCGGUGAAUACGUUCCCGGGCCUUGUACACACCGCCCGUCACNCC